rnacentral:lncRNA from 1 species
GGGUCAGCCAAAGUGCCUGCGCUGGGCAGGGGCUGCCAGCCAAGGGCCGGGUGGGGAGCAGCUGAGCUGCAGCACCGCAACUGCAGCCCUGCAGUGAGAGCAGCGAGCGGGGAGCAGCGCUGAGCCCCAACCCCUGCAGCAGUGAGCGGCUCCUGGCUUAGCGAGGCAAAACGCACAGCUUGGCGAGGAGCAACGCGCACAGAGAGAGCUGGAAGGCAGCACGGGAAGCAGAGCAGGGCAGGGCAGAGCAGCGCUGGUGUCAGCGGCGGCACACAGCUCCCAAUGCCCGCAAGGUGAGUGGCAGCGCCGGGUCAGCCCUCCGGGCAGCUCCCACCUCGCUGUGCCACUGCCGGCACCGGCGAUUCCUUUGGCUUUUUUCUUGUUUCCCAUCGCUGCUUUAAAGAGCUCUGAAGCAAGGACAUGCAAGAAUAGAAAAGGCAACAAGGAUUUUUUUUUUCCUUUUUUCUUUUCUUUUCUUUUUUUUUUUUUUUGCAGCUUGCUACAGGGAAAGGGGUGAAGGAGAGGCAGGGACGGGAAAUCAAACUAUGCUGCAGGAUUUGGGGCUGUUCCAACCUAACAAAGCAGCCGGGUGACCCCGAGGAGCAGCAGAAAGCACCCGGAGCCCCUCCGCCACCGCUGCAGCACGCGCUUCCUGCAUCCAUCCAUCCCAAGGCAGCCCGCAGUAACGCAGCAGAAAGACAAGGGUCAUGCUGAGCCGCAUCCUCCUCGCACACAACAGCCGAGCGGCAGCACCGAACAUGCAUGGCUCAGCCGUGCCGCCACGCCACGCCGGAACGGAGAGCCUUAAAAUAAGCACUGGAAAUGUCCUCCUCGCAAACACUUCAGCCUCCUUUUGAAGAGAAACAUAAAAAUAAUGCAUGGGAAUAAACACUCUCCUUCCACAGAAGCACAGAACUGAGCAGUUCAACACGCAACUUUGGGAACUUCUCCAAGAUUUAUAUGUUGUGCAUGAAAAGCAAAUGGCUUUUUCCUGCCUGGGAAAAUACUGAAG